rnacentral:rRNA from 1 species
GACGAACGCUGGCGGCGUGCCUAAUACAUGCAAGUCGAACGCAGUGGGGACGGGUGAGUAACACCUGGGUAACCUCCCAUCAGAGGGGAUAACACUUGGCAAAUGGUGCUUAACCCAUACUGAUGGAUGGACCCGCGGUGCAUUAGCUAGUUGGUGAGGUAAAGGCUCACCAAGGCCACGAUGCAUAGCGGACCUGAGAGGGUGAUCGGCCACACUGGGACUGAGACACGGCCCAGACUCCUACGGGAGGCAGCAGUGGGGAAUAUUCGGCAAUGGGCGAAAGUCUGACCGAGCAACGCCGCGUGAGUGAAGAAGGUUUUCGGAUCGUAAAGCUCUGUUGGUAGAGAAGCGGUAUCUAAACAGAAAGCCACGGCUAACUACGUGCCAGCAGCCGCGGUAAUAC